AGAGCGAACGCUGGCGGCAUGCUUAACACAUGCAAGUCGCACGGUUGGGGGGCAACUUCCGGCAGUGGCGGACGGGUGAGUAACGCGUAGGGAUCUGUCCAUGAGUGGGGGACAACCCAGGGAAACUUGGGCUAAUACCGCAUGAGCCCUGAGGGGGAAANCGGGGGAUCUUCGGACCUCGCGCUAAGAGAAGAGCCUACGUCUGAUUAGCUAGUUGGUAGGGUAAAGGCCUACCAAGGCGACGAUCAGUAGCUGGUCUGAGAGGACGACCAGCCACACUGGGACUGAGACACAGCCCAGACUCCUACGGGAGGCAGC
rnacentral:rRNA from 1 species